rnacentral:lncRNA from 1 species
UUUUUGAUGUUUGAUGAAUUUUCUUCCUACAAUUUCUCAGGAUAUACAACAAUUUAUUAGUUUUUAAAUCCCAUGGGGAUCACAUUUGAUUUUUCUCCCUGUUGCGUUUUUCUUUAAUUGAUUCCUGUAGGCUAUUCUGAAAUUUUUCUCCAUGCAACAUGUUGAAUGGCUAAUUGUUCUCUAUGGAAGCACAGCUGUUAUGCUACUAUUUAAUUGGGUUACGAAAAAUUAAUGUCAGGUGACAAACCUAUCAGGCACAAGCUCACUGGAAAUCACUACUUUAAAGGAAGAUUUUCACAUUAGAAUCUGGUUUUCGGGGUCAGUCUGUGGGUUUAGCAUUUCAUAUUAUUAACAGUGUGAUGACAAACCAGAGACAGGAGAGUUAAUGAUAGGAUGUGUUCCCGUCUCUCUCCCUUGUAAAGGAAAUAUUCAAAUACGCAGAAGGCCAAAGCUCUAUUUAUUUAAUAUUGAGUUUCUGAUAUUGCAAUAAACAAACAAGGUAACUCUUACAAAAUACGAUUAAAUGAGGCUUACAGUCGUGACUAGUUUUGUGUAGGGAGAAAAGACCAAACUCCUAUUAAUUAAUUAUUAAUUAAUUUCUUAGAAUUGCAUCCCAAAAUACUGGAAACAAGUCUUGAUGAUGUUGUACUUCUGUUCCUUGAAGGAAUUGACCAGUAUUUGCCUUCUGUGAGGCAGGGUUGGUAAAAGGUGCACGUUGAAUUAUGUUUAAAAUGUGCAUUCUGGUUUUUAUUUUUUCUUGUGAAACCCAGGGAGGAAAUUUCCCCUAGCCUCACCAGUGAACUUACAUUGAUUUAGAACUAUUUCUGCAUUCACUCAUUUAACAGCUAAAGAACAAGAGAUUAUAUAAAUGACUUAGUUGUGCUUCUAGACAGAUAUAAUAUUUUUUUCCCUAAUGAGUACAGAAAUAUGAUUGCAAAGUCUGUGUGAACUGGAAGAGCAUUUAACCAGUAUUAUUUGUAGUUACCUCAGCAAAUGAAAGAUCAAAAUGCUGUCUUGGUCUUAACAAAGAAGACAAACUUCUAAUAAAAAGGAAUGGCAUCUUCAUUUUAGUCUUAAAAUUAUACGGUGUAUUAGGUUUUUUUCUUUAUUACGAAAUAGUAAGUAUUUGGAUAAAAAUGAGAAAAUGCCAAUACACAGUUACAAGAAAAUAAAAAUAAGUUAUAAUCACAUCUACUAGGUCAUUGUUAAAUUUUAUAUCGGGAGGCACCCAGCAUAUGGUCUGCAGAGAGCCCAUCUUUUUACAUGUAAGAGAAAUAGGCCUAUAUUUUUUGAUAUAUUGAUAUUCUGAAUUUUUCUAUUGCAGGAACUCCAACAAAUCUGAAUUGCAUAACAAUUUUGGCCUAUUUUGUUUAUCAUGGAUUAUUUUGCAUUAUAUCAUAUUUUUUAAAAAAUAUGCAUUUAAACUAUUACUUAUCUUGAUUCCUGGUUUUUUGUUUUUAUUUUUGCAAUUCUUAAAGUUCAUACUUGAGGUGUGUAGUGCCUUCUUUACCACAUCCAAAUCCUAGCGCUGAAGACAAAUAUAGAAAGAGGUUUAGAUUCAGAAACUGAUUUAAACUUAAAGAUUUUCUUUUCUCAAAGAAAUGGAAUCAUAUGAUACAAUCUGCAUUCAAAAUUCAGAGUCCUUAAACAUUUUCCAGGAUGCAAUUUCUUUUUUCUAAUAUAAUAUAUUUUCUUCUAUUAUUUAUUUUUAAGAUAUUUUUCAAUCACUAAAUACUCUUAUAUGCAACACUUAAUGAUUGCUAAUGAGAUCAAAUUCAACAUUUGUUGAGUUGAAGCAACUCAAAGUGAAAUACUUGUCUGAUAGUUUCACAGACUCUCAGGUCCCUUAUGUAUCUGUGAGCAUAAAACAGGCUAUCUAUGGAUUUGUAAAAAUCAAUCUCCAUAGAAUCAAUUUUGACAUUUACUAAUUUUUAAAUUAUUUAUAUUAUUUUUUAAAAGAUUUUUUAAAUUUAUUUGAGAGAC